rnacentral:tRNA from 1 species
GGAGAGGUGCCGGAGCGGUUGAACGGGGCGGACUCGAAAUCCGCUGUGGCGCUUGCGCCACCCAGGGUUCGAAUCCCUGCCUCUCCGCCA